GUAGGGAAUCUUGCGCAAUGGGCGAAAGCCUGACGCAGCCAUGCCGCGUGAAUGAUGAAGGUCUUAGGAUUGUAAAAUUCUUUCACCGGGGACGAUAAUGACGGUACCCGGAGAAGAAGCCCCGGCUAACUUCGUGCCAGCAGCCGCGGUAAUACGAAGGGGGCUAGCGUUGCUCGGAAUUACUGGGCGUAAAGGGAGCGUAGGCGGAUAGUUUAGUCAGAGGUGAAAGCCCAGGGCUCAACCUUGGAAUUGCCUUUGAUACUGGCUAUCUUGAGUAUGGAAGAGGUAUGUGGAACUCCGAGUGUAGAGGUGAAAUUCGUAGAUAUUCGGAAGAACACCAGUGGCGAAGGCGGCUCACUGGACUGGUAUUGACGCUGAGGUGCGAAAGCGUGGGGAGCAAACAGGAUUAGAUACCCGUGUAGUCC
rnacentral:rRNA from 1 species